GACGAACGCUGGCGGCGUGCUUAACACAUGCAAGUCGAACGGGCUGAAGUGAUAGCUUGCUAUUAUGGAUGCUAGUGGCAAACGGGUGAGUAACGCGUAGGCAACCUGCCCUUCAGAUGGGGACAACACUUCGAAAGAGGUGCUAAUACCGAAUGACGUAUCCAUUCCGCAUGGAGAGAAUACCAAAGGCUGGGCAACCGGUCACUGAAGGAUGGGCCUGCGUCUGAUUAGCUAGCUGGUGAGGCAAACGGGCUCACCAAGCCGACGAUCAGUAGCCGACCUGAGAGGGUGACCGGCCACAUUGGGACUGAGACACGGCCCAGACUCCUACGGGAGCAGCAGUGGGAAUAUUGCACAAUGGAGGAAACUCUGAUAGCAGCGACGCCGCGUGAGUGAAG
rnacentral:rRNA from 1 species